rnacentral:lncRNA from 1 species
CGCUAACUUCCAAUCUUCUGGGACUACUCCUGUUAACAAUGAUUGGUUAAAUAAAUCUGUUAAUGGUUUUGCUAGUACACCACUAAGCUCUUUUAAUAGCUUUGGGUGUAUUCCAUCAGGUCCCAUUGACUUAUUUGUCUUUACUUUUGUCAGUUGAAAUAGAACCUCUUCCUCUGUAAACUCACGUGUAAUAAAUGACUCAUUUAUCCUUUUUCUCAACUGAGG